UGCCAUAAUGCCCCCUUGGUGACACGAGGCCCUGAAGGGUCCUAAUGGUCUCCAUGGUUCCAUCAGGCCCCACAGAGUCACAAUGGUCUCUGGGUUCCAUGAAGCCCCGCUGUGUCACCAUGGCCCCUUGGUUCCAUGGGCUCCAGUGGUGCCACAAUGAUCUCCUGCGUUUCAUGAGGGCCCACAGUGUCCCAGUGAUCUCCAUGGGAAGGAAAGAACCCAGCCCCAGUGUUGCAGGGGCAGUCACCAGAGGCCAAGGCCAACCAGACUUGGCGGUACUGUCAGAUUUUGCCUGGGAGCAACCCUUGGAUAUACAGAAUUUUGGAGGUGGAAUCUCAAUUUCAGACAUGGAUGCCCAGAGGAGAAGGAUGGUUCUUUACCAUUGGAAGAAAAUCAUAGAACAUUGUUGUUUCAGGGGCAGAUGAAAGGCAGUCAUCAGAGGCCUAGACCAGCCAGACCUCUCUGUGUCCUGGUAACUUUUGUCUGAAAGCAACCCUUGGACAUAGGGAAUUUUGGAGGUGGAAUCCCAAUUUCGGCCACUUCUGUGUAGAUAAGUGGGACGGUUCUUUUUCAUAGAAGGGAAAGCUCCAAGCCUGAGUGUUUCAAAGGCAGAAGAGGAGAGAGGGGGCUCCUGGGCGGCCAAGACAUCCAGACCUGUUUGUCCUGCAGCUUUUGUCAUGGCAGAAUGCUUGGAUAUAUUCAAUUUGGGAGGAGGAAUCUCAAUUUUGACCACGGACACUUUGAGAAGGACAGUUCUUUUCCAUUGGAAGGAAAGCACAGAGCCCCAGUGUUUGGAAAGCAGGAAAGAAAGUGUGAAUUCCAAGUGUUCUGGAAGAAGAUGAGAGGUGGCUACCCUUAGGCCAAACCAGCCAGACCUGUCUCUUUUGGCACCUUUUGUCUAGGGACUAUCCUUGGACAUAGGGCAUUUUGGAGGAGGAAUCUCAAUUUUGGCUGUGGAGGCCUGGACAAGAAGAAGAAUUCUU